rnacentral:rRNA from 1 species
UACGGGGGGGGCAAGCGUUGUUCGGAAUUACUGGGCGUAAAGGGUUUGUAGGUGGCUUGUUAAGUCAGACGUGAAAUCCCUCAGCUUAACUGGGGAACUGCGUCUGAUACUGGCGAGCUUGAGUGCAGGAGAGGAACGCGGAAUUCCAGGUGUAGCGGUGAAAUGCGUAGAUAUCGAGAGGAACACCUGCGGCGAAGGCGGGUUGCUGGGCUGACACUGACGCUGAGGCGCGAAAGCGUGGGGAGCAAACAGG